CCUACGGGGGGCAGCAGUGGGGAAUAUUGCACAAUGGGCGCAAGCCUGAUGCAGCCAUGCCGCGUGUGUGAAGAAGGCCUUCGGGUUGUAAAGCACUUUCAGCGGGGUGGAAGGCGGUGAGGUUAAUAACCUCAUCGGUUGACGUUACCCGCAGAAGAAGCACCGGCUAACUCCGUGCCAGCAGCCGCGGUAAUACGGAGGGUGCAAGCGUUAAUCGGAAUUACUGGGCGUAAAGCGCACGCAGGCGGUCUGUCAAGUCGGAUGUGAAAUCCCCGGGCUCAACCUGGGAACUGCAUUCGAAACUGGCAGGCUAGAGUCUUGUAGAGGGGGGUAGAAUUCCAGGUGUAGCGGUGAAAUGCGUAGAGAUCUGGAGGAAUACCGGUGGCGAAGGCGGCCCCCUGGACAAAGACUGACGCUCAGGUGCGAAAGCGUGGGGAGCAAACAGGAUUAGAUACCCCAGUAGUC
rnacentral:rRNA from 1 species